rnacentral:rRNA from 1 species
UACGAAGGGAGCUAGCGUUGUUCGGAAUCACUGGGCGUAAAGCGCACGUAGGCGGAUGUGCCAGUCAGGGGUGAAAUUCCGGAGCUCAACUCCGGAACUGCCUCUGAUACAGCACGUCUUGAGUCCGGAAGAGGUGGGUGGAAUUCCUAGUGUAGAGGUGAAAUUCGUAGAUAUUAGGAAGAACACCGGUGGCGAAGGCGGCCCACUGGUCCGGUACUGACGCUGAGGUGCGAAAGCUAGGGUAGCAAACGGG